AAGGAGCUUGCUCCUUUGACGUUAGCGGCGGACGGGUGAGUAACACGUGGGUAACCUACCUAUAAGACUGGGAUAACUUCGGGAAACCGGAGCUAAUACCGGAUAACAUUUGGAACCGCAUGGUUCUAAAGUGAAAGAUGGUUUUGCUAUCACUUAUAGAUGGACCCGCGCCGUAUUAGCUAGUUGGUAAGGUAACGGCUUACCAAGGCGACGAUACGUAGCCGACCUGAGAGGGUGAUCGGCCACACUGGAACUGAGACACGGUCCAGACUCCUACGGGAGGCAGCAGUAGGGAAUCUUCCGCAAUGGGCGAAAGCCUGACGGAGCAACGCCGCGUGAGUGAUGAAGGGUUUCGGCUCGUAAAACUCUGUUAUUAGGGAAGAACAAAUGUGUAAGUAACUGUGCACGUCUUGACGGUACCUAAUCAGAAAGCCACGGCUAACUACGUGCCAGCAGCCGCGGUAAUACGUAGGUGGCAAGCGUUAUCCGGAAUUAUUGGGCGUAAAGCGCGCGUAGGCGGUUUCUUAAGUCUGAUGUGAAAGCCCACGGCUCAACCGUGGAGGGUCAUUGGAAACUGGGAAACUUGAGUGCAGAAGAGGAAAGUGGAAUUCCAUGUGUAGCGGUGAAAUGCGCAGAGAUAUGGAGGAACACCAGUGGCGAAGGCGACUUUCUGGUCUGUAACUGACGCUGAUGUGCGAAAGCGUGGGGAUCAAACAGGAUUAGAUACCCUGGUAGUCCACGCCGUAAACGAUGAGUGCUAAGUGUUAGGGGGUUUCCGCCCCUUAGUGCUGCAGCUAACGCAUUAAGCACUCCGCCUGGGGAGUACGACCGCAAGGUUGAAACUCAAAGGAAUUGACGGGGACCCGCACAAGCGGUGGAGCAUGUGGUUUAAUUCGAAGCAACGCGAAGAACCUUACCAAAUCUUGACAUCCUUUGAAAACUCUAGAGAUAGAGCUUUCCCCUUCGGGGGACAAAGUGACAGGUGGUGCAUGGUUGUCGUCAGCUCGUGUCGUGAGAUGUUGGGUUAAGUCCCGCAACGAGCGCAACCCUUAAGCUUAGUUGCCAUCAUUAAGUUGGGCACUCUAGGUUGACUGCCGGUGACAAACCGGAGGAAGGUGGGGAUGACGUCAAAUCAUCAUGCCCCUUAUGAUUUGGGCUACACACGUGCUACAAUGGACAAUACAAAGGGCAGCUAAACCGCGAGGUCAUGCAAAUCCCAUAAAGUUGUUCUCAGUUCGGAUUGUAGUCUGCAACUCGACUACAUGAAGCUGGAAUCGCUAGUAAUCGUAGAUCAGCAUGCUACGGUGAAUACGUUCCCGGGUCUUGUACACACCGCCCGUCACACCACGAGAGUUUGUAACACCCGAAGCCGGUGGAGUAACCAUUU
rnacentral:rRNA from 1 species